rnacentral:rRNA from 1 species
UACGUAGGGUGCAAGCGUUAAUCGGAAUUACUGGGCGUAAAGCGUGCGCAGGCGGUUAUGUAAGACAGAUGUGAAAUGCCCGGGCUUAACCUGGGAACUGCAUUUGUGACUGCAUGGCUAGAGUUUGGCAGAGGGGGGUAGAAUUCCACGUGUAGCAGUGAAAUGCGUAGAUAUGUGGAGGAACACCGGUGGCGAAGGCGGUUCUCUGGGCAUUACCUGACGCUGAGGAGCGAAAGUGUGGGGAGCGAACAGG